rnacentral:rRNA from 1 species
GACGAACGCUGGCGGCGUGCUUAACACAUGCAAGUCGAACGGAAAGGCCCUGCUUUUGUGGGGUGCUCGAGUGGCGAACGGGUGAGUAACACGUGAGUAACCUGCCCUUGACUUUGGGAUAACUUCAGGAAACUGGGGCUAAUACCGGAUAGGAGCUCCUGCUGCAUGGUGGGGGUUGGAAAGUUUCGGCGGUUGGGGAUGGACUCGCGGCUUAUCAGCUUGUUGGUGGGGUAGUGGCUUACCAAGGCUUUGACGGGUAGCCGGCCUGAGAGGGUGACCGGCCACAUUGGGACUGAGAUACGGCCCAGACUCCUACGGGAGGCAGCAGUGGGGAAUAUUGCACAAUGGGCGGAAGCCUGAUGCAGCAACGCCGCGUGCGGGAUGACGGCCUUCGGGUUGUAAACCGCUUUCGCCUGUGACGAAGCGUGAGUGACGGUAAUGGGUAAAGAAGCACCGGCUAACUACGUGCCAGCAGCCGCGGUGAUACGUAGGGUGCGAGCGUUGUCCGGAUUUAUUAGGCGUAAAGGGCUCGUAGGUGGUUGAUCGCGUCGGAAGUGUAAUCUUGGGGCUUAACCCUGAGCGUGCUUUCGAUACGGGUUGACUUGAGGAAGGUAGGGGAGAAUGGAAUUCCUGGUGGAGCGGUGGAAUGCGCAGAUAUCAGGAGGAACACCAGUGGCGAAGGCGGUUCUCUGGGCCUUUCCUGACGCUGAGGAGCGAAAGCGUGGGGAGCGAACAGGCUUAGAUACCCUGGUAGUCCACGCUGUAAACGGUGGGUACUAGGUGUGGGGUCCAUUCCACGGGUUCCGUGCCGUAGCUAACGCUUUAAGUACCCCGCCUGGGGAGUACGGCCGCAAGGCUAAAACUCAAAGGAAUUGACGGGGCCCCGCACAAGCGGCGGAGCAUGCGGAUUAAUUCGAUGCAACGCGUAGAACCUUACCUGGGUUUGACAUGGAUCGGGAGUGCUCAGAGAUGGGUGUGCCUCUUUUGGGGUCGGUUCACAGGUGGUGCAUGGCUGUCGUCAGCUCGUGUCGUGAGAUGUUGGGUUAAGUCCCGCAACGAGCGCAACCCUUGUUCACUGUUGCCAGCACGUUAUGGUGGGGACUCAGUGGAGACCGCCGGGGUCAACUCGGAGGAAGGUGGGGAUGACGUCAAGUCAUCAUGCCCCUUAUGUCCAGGGCUUCACGCAUGCUACAAUGGCUGGUACAGAGAGUGGCGAGCCUGUGAGGGUGUGCGAAUCUCGGAAAGCCGGUCUCAGUUCGGAUUGGGGUCUGCAACUCGACCUCAUGAAGUCGGAGUCGCUAGUAAUCGCAGAUCAGCAACGCUGCGGUGAAUACGUUCCCGGG